rnacentral:rRNA from 1 species
GGGGGACAUACCCUUUCCUGCGGAAUAGCUCCGGGAAACUGGAAUUAAUACCGCAUACGCCCUACGGGGGAAAGAUUUAUCGGGGAAGGAUUGGCCCGCGUUGGAUUAGCUAGUUGGUGGGGUAAAGGCCUACCAAGGCGACGAUCCAUAGCUGGUCUGAGAGGAUGAUCAGCCACAUUGGGACUGAGACACGGCCCAAACUCCUACGGGAGGCAGCAGUGGGGAAUAUUGGACAAUGGGCGCAAGCCUGAUCCAGCCAUGCCGCGUGAGUGAUGAAGGCCUUAGGGUUGUAAAGCUCUUUCACCGAUGAAGAUAAUGACGGUAGUCGGAGAAGAAGCCCCGGCUAACUUCGUGCCAGCAGCCGCGGUAAUACGAAGGGGGCUAGCGUUGUUCGGAAUUACUGGGCGUAAAGCGCACGUAGGCGGAUAUUUAAGUCAGGGGGGAGGUCCCGCACCUCAACUGCGGAACUGCCUUUGAUACUGGGUAUCUUGAGUAUGGAAGAGGUAAGUGGAAUUCCGAGUGUAGAGGGGAAAUUCGUAGAUAUUCGGAGGAACACCAGUGGCGAAGGGCGGCUUACUGGUCCAUUACUGACGCUGAGGUGCGAAAGCGUGGGGGAGCA